rnacentral:tRNA from 1 species
GCCUCGGUAGCUCAAUUGGCAGAGCAGCGGACUCUUAAUCCGUUGGUUGAAGGUUCAAGUCCUUCUCGGGGCACCA